rnacentral:rRNA from 1 species
AUUGAACGCUGGCGGCAGGCCUAACACAUGCAAGUCGAGCGGAUGAAGGGAGCUUGCUUCCUGAUUCAGCGGCGGACGGGUGAGUAAUGCCUAGGAAUCUGCCUGAUAGUGGGGGACAACGUUUCGAAAGGAACGCUAAUACCGCAUACGUCCUACGGGAGAAAGCAGGGGACCUUCGGGCCUUGCGCUAUCAGAUGAGCCUAGGUCGGAUUAGCUAGUAGGUGAGGUAAUGGCUCACCUAGGCGACGAUCCGUAACUGGUCUGAGAGGAUGAUCAGUCACACUGGAACUGAGACACGGUCCAGACUCCUACGGGAGGCAGCAGUGGGGAAUAUUGGACAAUGGGCGAAAGCCUGAUCCAGCCAUGCCGCGUGUGUGAAGAAGGUCUUCGGAUUGUAAAGCACUUUAAGUUGGGAGGAAGGGCAGUAAGUUAAUACCUUGCUGUUUUGACGUUACCAACAGAAUAAGCACCGGCUAACUUCGUGCCAGCCGCCGCCGUAACAC